UACGAAGGGGGCUAGCGUUGUUCGGAAUUACUGGGCGUAAAGCGCACGUAGGCGGAUAUUUAAGUCAGGGGUGAAAUCCCGGGGCUCAACCCCGGAACUGCCUUUGAUACUGGGUAUCUCGAGUCCGAGAGAGGUGAGUGGAAUUCCGAGUGUAGAGGUGAAAUUCGUAGGUAUUCGGAGGAACACCAGUGGCGAAGGCGGCUCACUGGCCCGGUACUGACGCUGAGGUGCGAAAGCGUGGGGAGCAAACAGG
rnacentral:rRNA from 1 species